rfam:Folsomia candida strain VT population Fcan01_Sc007, whole genome shotgun sequence.
GGCGCCAUAGCUUAGUGGUAGAGCGCUUGUCUAGUAAACAAGAGGUCGUGAGUUCAAUUCUCACUGGUGCCU